UUUCUUGUCUAAUCUGCCUAUAUACCGCCGUCGUCAGCUUACUCUGUGAAGAGCUUGCAGUAAGCACAACUGGCACAGCCUAAAACGCCAGGUCGAGGUGUAGCGAAUGGAAAGGGAAGAAAUGGGCUACAUUCAAUACCAAUAAUGAAUACGAAUGACAUCCUGAAAAUAGAUGCCUGAAGGAGGAUUUAGUAGUAAGCAAAGAUUAGAGUGCUCUGCUGAAACCGGCCCUGAAGCGCGUACACACCGCCCGUCACUCUCCCCAAGCUAUAUUUAAAAACAUCGCUAAUAAACCAACACUGUAAAGGGGAGGCAAGUCGUAACAUGGUAAGUGUACCGGAAGGUGCGCUUGGAAAAA
rnacentral:rRNA from 1 species